ACAGUCCCCAACCCCAUCUGCACCCCCGGCUGUCAUCUUCUUCCCCGCCCUCGCCCUCGCCCCAGCUAACCGCUCGCCCCAACCGCGGCGCCACCCAUCGCACAGUGGCCGUGUGCGGUGGGGUGGUUCUGCGAGGCUAUGGCGAUGGCGAGGAGGCAGCACAUCACAAUAUUCACCACGGCGAGCCUGCCGUGGAUGACCGGCACUGCUGUCAACCCCCUGUUCCGGGCGGCUUACCUCGCCAAGGCUGGGGACUGGGAGGUCACGCUGGUGGUGCCGUGGCUGUCCAAGGGGGAUCAGAUGCUGGUUUACCCUAACAAGAUGAAAUUCAGUGGGCCGGCGGAGCAAGAAGGCUAUGUGCGGCGGUGGCUUGAGGAGCGGACUGGGCCGUUGCCGAGAUUCAACAUAAAUUUCUAUCCUGGGAAGUUCUCGACGGAGAAGAGAAGCAUUCUACCUGUUGGGGAUAUAACUGAGACGAUAUCUGAUGAAAAAGCAGAUAUUGCAGUUCUAGAAGAGCCAGAACAUCUGACCUGGUACCAUCAUGGACGGAGGUGGAAAAACAAAUUUCGUAAAGUUAUAGGUGUUGCUCACACCAACUAUCUGGAAUAUGUGAAGAGGGAGAAAAAUGGUUACAUUCAUGCAUUUCUCUUAAAACAUAUCAAUUCUUGGGUCACCGACAUCUAUUGCCAUAAGGUUAUAAGAUUAUCGGGAGCAACUCAGGAAGUCCCGAGAUCUGUAAUUUGUAAUGUUCAUGGAGUAAACCCGAAAUUUAUUGAAAUUGGCAAAUUAAAGCAUCAGCAAAUAUCUCAAAGAGAACAAUCAUUCUUCAAGGGUGCAUAUUAUAUUGGAAAGAUGGUCUGGAGUAAAGGCUACACAGAGCUGCUUCAGCUGCUUCAGAAGCACCAAAAGGAAUUGUCUGGUCUCAAGAUGGAGCUGUAUGGCAGUGGAGAAGAUUCCGAUGAAGUUAAAGCAUCAGCUGAGAAACUCAGUCUGGACGUUAGAGUCUAUCCUGGCCGCGACCAUGCAGAUUCAAUAUUUCACGACUACAAGGUUUUCAUAAACCCAAGCACAACAGAUGUAGUUUGCACCACAACUGCAGAAGCCUUGGCGAUGGGAAAGAUUGUGAUCUGCGCAAACCAUCCUUCAAAUGAAUUUUUCAAAAGAUUUCCCAACUGCCACAUGUACAGCACGGAGAAAGAGUUUGUGAGGCUAACCAUGAAAGCACUGUCAGAAGAGCCGAUCCCACUGACCGAGGAACUGAGGCACGAGCUUUCCUGGGAGGCAGCGACAGAGAGGUUUGUCAGGGUUGCCGAAAUCGCACCAGCCACGCCCGCCAAGCAACAUCCUUCCACUUCACAGCGUUUCAUGUACAUCAACCCGGAUGAGCUGAAGAAGAACAUGGAAGAGGCGUCGGCAUUCUUUCACAACACCAUCUCUGGGUUUGAAGCCGCCCGUUGUGUGUUUGGGGCGAUACCGAACAGCCUGCAGCCCGAUGAACAGCAGUGCAAGGAGCUCGGGUGGAGACCCCAGGGAUUAUAGCCUUUCCACCUCCAUGCUGUUGGCAUCGACCAUACAAGUUUACAACUAAUCGCAGCCCAGUUGGGGGGCUGAGGAAACUAACUCUGAAACGGAAACAUGUGUGCUCUGAAAGGGAUUACCGUUUGACAGGCCCUUGCUUUGCUCUCUUUCUGGUGUGAUGAAACUGCAGUUUUCCUUGGUGGCGUCCAUCAGAUCUGUAUCUGGCGAUUGUGAAGUCUACCAGCAGACAAAUCCCGCAAGAAGUAAGCUGAUGGAGGCCGGAGUGAAGCUAGUGAGUGAGGUGGUAGAAGAAAUUUUCAAAGCAGCGUAUGGGUGGCGCCUGAAGACUGGGAGGAUCGAAGGGUAACUGAAGCCCUCCCUGCUGCGAUGGAAAAAUCUUGGCUCCUGCCUUUUCAUGCUGGCUUCGCUUCAUUUUGCUGAUGUUCAGACUAAGUGGAUGACCCUGUAAUAUUGCGUCUGCUAUAAAAUGAUAGUUUCUCUUUGUAGCCUCUGUUCUUAUAACAGAGUCUGUUGCCGCUCUGGGGCUGGAUUCUCCUGAAUCUAGACCUCGGACCAUUCUUGUAGGUUCUCUCCACUGUCUUUGGGCUUCGGGGAGGAGAAGGGAUGGCUUCUCCUCCUUCCUCAAUGUGGCAGUAGGUUGAUCCGUUAGAAGAGUGGAGUUUCGUGUUGAGGGGAGUGUGUUCCUUUUUUCUUUUUUCUGUAGCAAGACUUGGUGAUUUUUGUUAAUGGAAAUCGGAGAGAGUGCUCUCUUUUAUCAAAAAAAA